rnacentral:rRNA from 1 species
UACGAAGGGGGCUAGCGUUGCUCGGAAUCACUGGGCGUAAAGCGCACGUAGGCGGAUUUCUAAGUCAGGGGUGAAAUCCUGGAGCUCAACUCCAGAACUGCCUUUGAUACUGGGAAUCUCGAGUCCGGGAGAGGUGAGUGGAACUGCGAGUGUUGAGGUGAAAUUCGUAGAUAUUCGCAAGAACACCAGUGGCGAAGGCGGCUCACUGGCCCGGUACUGACGCUGAGGCGCGAAAGCGUGGGGAGCAAACAGG